AACGAACGCUGGCGGCAGGCUUAACACAUGCAAGUCGAACGCGCACCUUCGGGUGUGAGUGGCAGACGGGUGAGUAACGCGUGGGAAUUUACCUCAAACUAUGGGAUAACACAGAGAAAAUUGUGCUAAUACCAGAUGUGCUGAUAUAAAGGGAUUUAUAUUGGGAAAGAUUUAUCGGUUUGAGAUAAGCCCGCGUUGGAUUAGCUAGUUGGUAGGGUAAUGGCCUACCAAGGCGACGAUCCAUAGCUGGUCUGAGAGGAUGAUCAGCCACACUGGGACUGAGACACGGCCCAGACCCCUACGGGAGGCAGCAGUGGGGAAUAUUGGACAAUGGGCGCAAGCCUGAUCCAGCCAUGCCGCGUGAGUGNUNACGGCCUUAGGGUUGUAAAGCUCUUUCACCGGAGAAGAUAAUGACGGCAUCCGAG
rnacentral:rRNA from 2 species